UUCGAGUGGCGGACGGGUGAGUAACGCGUGGGUAACCUGCCUUACACAGGGGGAUAACACCUGGAAACAGGUGCUAAUACCGCAUAAGCGCACAGGGCCGCAUGGCCCGGUGUGAAAAACUCCGGUGGUGUAAGAUGGACCCGCGUCUGAUUAGCUUGUUGGCGGGGUAGAGGCCCACCAAGGCGACGAUCAGUAGCCGGCCUGAGAGGGUGAACGGCCACAUUGGGACUGAGACACGGCCCAGACUCCUACGGGAGGCAGCAG
rnacentral:rRNA from 1 species